rnacentral:rRNA from 1 species
GGACAAUGGGCGCAAGCCUGAUCCAGCAAUGCCGCGUGUGUGAAGAAGGCCUUCGGGUUGUAAAGCACUUUUGUCCGGAAAGAAAUCAUUCUGGCUAAUACCCGGAGUGGAUGACGGUACCGGAAGAAUAAGCACCGGCUAACUACGUGCCAGCAGCCGCGGUAAUACGUAGGGUGCGAGC